GACGAACGCUGGCGGCGUGCUUAACACAUGCAAGUCGAACGGAAAGGCCCUGCUCUUGUUGCGUUCUCGAUUGGCGAACGGGUGAGUAACACGUGAGGAACCUGCCCUUGACUUUGUGAUAACUUCUGGAAACUCGGGCUAAUAUCGGAUAGGAUCUCCUGCUGCAUGGUGUGGGGUGGUAAAUGUCGGCGGUUGGGGAUGGUAUGGCUGGUUAUGAGCUGGUUUGUGGGGUAGUGGAUGACCAAGGUUUUGAAGGGUAGGCGACAUGGGAGGGUGAACGGGCACCAUGGGACUGCGAUACGGACCAGAAUCCUACCGGCGGCAGCAGUGGGGAGUCUUGCGCAAUGGGCGGAAGCCUGAUGCAGCAGUGCCGCGUGCGGGAUGAUGGCCUUCGGGUUGUAAACAGCUUUCGACUGUGACGAAGCGUGAGUGACGGUAAUGGGUAAAGAAGCACCGGCUAACUACGUG
rnacentral:rRNA from 1 species